CCAAAACUAAGCCGUAGCCACUCAAUAAAAUAUUUUUGUAAAAGAUAUAAGUUGCGUCAUACAGUCAUGAGACUUGCACUGAACACUGUUCAUUUACACCAUAUUGAGAAAUCUUUAACUUUCAGCAAACUAAGUAAUAUUCACAUCAAAUUGCAUCUGUUGGUAAAAUGGGCAUAAAAACUUCAGCUAUAGAACAAUAAAGUUGUAAUUUUCAGAUGAGGUCAAAUUUUGAAGGUAUAUAAGAAGGAAACCUCGACGUUAUUUGGUAUAAUAUUUCUGACAGAUCAAGCUUCUGCGCAAAACUUAUCUGCAUUGUGGCAAAUCCAAUCAGAAUAGGUUCAAGAAGACCAACAAGGCAGCUUUUGAUCUCUACCCCCUUCUUCUGUCUUGGAUUUAUUUCUGUAGGGCUAGCGAGCAACAAUCUGUCAUUCAAAGCCCCAACCAAGACUGGAAAAUAAAUUCAUAUAAAUAGAUUAGUAAGACAACAGAUGGAUAAGAUAUUAUGACAUCCUAGUAUGCAGCAAGAAAAUUACCUGCAUAUGGCAUAUUGAUUGAUAGGACAGGCCUCACUUUUCCAUCCCAACCAAGUAUACUGAUGGCAGUAGUAGUAGAGAAAAGAAGGGCAGGCCCAACCCACAAGAGAGAUCUAAAGUGAGCUCAAGUUAAGAUUUCAAAAAAGAGAAUAUAUGCAAUGCAAGAAAUUUAAUGCGAAUAAAUGGUUUCUUGAUAUCAAAAAGAUAAAAUUCAAAGGAUAUUGAAGGAAGUCCCUUAUCAAAAUUUGUAGAAGUUCCCGAAAGCAUAUCAAGUGUCGCCGAAACGAUAAGGACUCUGUGUGUUGUUAAAAUUCCAGCGACAUGUCCCCUUAGUGUUUCUUGCCAGUGCACCUGUCAAAUUUGAAGAAACAUGGAUUAAUAAAGUUAUGUAUUUUAGCUCCACAAACAAGGAGUCCUAUAACAAAUGUCUUUUGCCCGAGCCAUUAUCGAUGAAGGACUCUAAGGGACGAAGAAACAAGCUCUAAACAUAUUUGCUCCUUGUUGUUCCAAUUGGAAACAGCAGUAUUUAAAAUCUUACGUUCAUGUGUACACAUGUACAAUGAUUAUAACAUUCAUGCACUGAAGAAGUUGCACUUCAAUUAACUUUAUUUGUAAACACUUAGAAUUUGAGUUUGGGCUUAACUCAACACCAAAAUCUAGCACAUGGGGUGAAUGUUGUCCCCAACCUAUAACCACUAUUCAGGCCACAUCACUAUCCAAUGUGGGAAUACAACAUCCCUCCGACACUUGAGCGCAAGACUGGAAAGCGUGAAGUUUGCAAAACUCAGUGAUGUUAAAUAGCUGCUAUUGCAUAGCAGGAUUUGGGAAAAACACUACAAAAUCCGAUACGCUAUGACUGUUCCGCUACCACCACAAUAAUGGCAACUAUUCCCAUGGCGGCGAUGGCGGAAAAAAGGAGUUUUAUGGUUUUUUUUAAUGAAAACACUAAAAAAGAAGCAUGUGAACCACUUCAAAAAAAUUCAAAAAGAAUAACUGAAGAAAAGAGUUGUUGUGGAUUGACUCUAGUGAGUUCCUUCUCAUGUAACAGAGCUACGUUUUUUCGGUUUCUUUUUUCUUCUAUUCCUCGGUUUUUUUAUUUUUCCUUUUCAUUCACCUCUUUUUAUCAGUCUUAUUUUUGUUCAUCUCAUUUCUUUUAUUUUUUUCCUUUCUACUCUUUUAAGUUUUUUUGGAUUCUUUCAUCUAUCCUUCUUAUAUUUAUUUUUUUUCUAAUUAUUUCCUUUCCAUUCUCUUUCCCAAUUUAAUUUAUUUCUUCUCUUCCUCUGUGAUUCUUUCAGCCCUGUGUUUUUUUUUUAUUAUUUCAUCCCCUCUAGUUAAUGUUAUGUCACUUUUUCUUUUAAUUUAUGUUUAUGCAGCUUUUUUUUAUCUGUAUGCAUCAUUAAUUUAUUUAUAUAUAAUUGAUUUAUUUCAACUGUUAAACGGCUCAUGCUAUUUUCCAGCAACGCUAUCCGCUAUUUCUCAUAGCCGAUUUUUUGUUUUUCGCUAUUUUCCGCAAUCCUCUAUUGAUAACAUUGGCAAAAUUAGACAUUUGCAGGUGUUAGAAUGGAUUUUAUAGAUUUUGAUAGCAUCUAAGAAUUUGGGUUUGGGCAUGUCAACCCCAAAAUCUAGCGAAGUUGCCCUCCACUGAUACCCAUAUUCAAGCCAUAUCAUAUCAAUAUCAAAUGUGGGACUCCGACAUGAACAAAACAUGCGAUUAGUUAGAAGUGUAUAAUAAUUCAGCUGAGUGCUAAUCACAACAAAAACAUUUUGCCAAUGGAUUUAUAGAUUUUGAUAGCAUCUAAGAAUUUGGGUUUGGGCAUGUCAACCCCAAAAUCUAGCGAAGUUGCCCUCCACUGAUACCCAUAUUCAAGCCUAAAUACACACCAAUAUGAUCUACAAUAAUGGAUGGAAUCGUACCAUCAUCAGUCUUCAUGUAUGGUGUCACCUCUGCAGCAAGCUCCCAUUGAGGUAUAUCCUUCACAGUGGUUGGGGUUUUGAUUUCCCAGUUUCCACCACCCCAUUCAGGUCCUUUUGGAACCAUACUCUCAGCAGCAAAGUUGGCAAAUAUACCUUGUGUCCAUCCAGUAGAUCGAACUCGUAAUAUCCUUUCACAAUAUCGCCUCAAUUCUGAGUCAAGGCUGUCUUCUUCCAAUUUCUGAGCAAGACGCCGCAUGGCACUGGGAUUAAGGUGGCAUAUAAACAGAUCAAGCAUGCCUUCAUAGUCUGCUAUAACUUCAAAUGUUUCUUUUGCACUAUCAAAUUGACCAAACCUGCAAGUGAUAUUAAAUUACAAAAGUAACUACAAACUUGUAUUAUAUCAUAUUAAUAACUACAGUACCACUACAAACCACACAACAAAAGAUCAAUUGUAUGAGCUCCAAGUUCCAACACUAUAGUUGAUACAUGAGAGCUAUAAAUCAAUGAAAGGAAAAUAGUCGGUCAAAGCUGACUUGACCCAUUGUACCAUUGUACAUGGCGAGAAGCAUUGACAAUGAAAAUAUACAGAUUCAUUACAAAAUAUGAAGAGAAAUAUGAAGAUGAAUGUAUUAUUCAUUACAAAAAAUUAGGAGAAACACAGAUAACCAGAGCGAUGCUCCAACUCCCCCUCUAAAAUAAUCCUCUACUACAUGGUCCUCCCCAUAACAAACUGUCACCGGGUGCUAUGGUAGAGGAUCUAAUUAAUCACUUCUUGCAGGUUUUCCUUUUGAAGGUAUUAUUAGUAAUUGGAUCCCAAGAAGGUCCAUAGUCAUUGGCGCUUAUCUAUAAUUUUGGAAACCAUCAAGGCCAAGGUUGUGAUAUAGGUAUCGACAAGAGUGGAACAAUGUGAGAAGAAACUUUACUAUGAUUGCACACUCACUUAUGUCGUUGCAUUCUCACUCCACCCAAUAAUAGGUCACAAUCAUGGAAUUAACACACUUUUUAACACACUCUUUGAUUGGUUAUGUUAAAAUUCAAUGUAUGUUUUAAUUUAUUCCUUGAUUGUGCAACAUCCUAGGCUAAUUGUUAGUAGUCCUAGUCAAUACAAUUUCCUAGACAUUGAAUGUAAUUAUUGCAGCAUCAUUAUAAAUAGAAAGGAUGUGAUCUCAUUAGAGAAACAAGAAACAUAGACUUUACACAUAAAUUUACACAAACACUUCACCUAAUAUUUUACAUGGUAUCAGAGUAGCUUUUGAUUUUGUGACCUGUUUUUGUGCUUCACUACCACUGCCGACAAUACCACCUUUCAAUCUUUUAAUUUUUUGCCACAAACAGUUGUUCAUCAUCGUCAACUUCGGCAGCCCUACCCUGUCUUCUCUGCAUUUUCCAGCUGCGCCAUAACCAGAGUUUUUUUCCGUGUAGUUAUGUGCUUAUUUACACUGUUACAGCUGUGCUAACACAAGCUGCACUUUUUCCAAUGCGACCCACUGCCUAAAACCACCACAGACUGCUGCACAAUCCUCUGACGAACACAACGGUGCUCCUGGCGUUAACCGACACAGCACACGCCAUCACACGCAUCCACCUUCUCUACACGUGGGUGUCACAUCGCCAUCAAACCCACGCGUGCAUCUGUCUCUGUCCACCAUAUUUCAUUGCCAGUUGUUGCAAACUCCCCCUCAAACUAAAACUUACUACGCGCUAGUGGAUUGAUUUUUCAUCAACCUCUUAUCUUUCAAUUCCCCCUUCCGCAUUGUAUCUGCUGCUGUGAGAACUUAGUUUCGUGGACAAGGGACCAUUUGCUCAGACAAUCAUUUUAUUCCCACCGACGAUCAAUCCAGUGGUGACUCUAUCCGCACAUACGAAUCAAAUGAGUGGCGCCUUUUAUUCUAGCCGACGAUAAAUCUGGUGGUAACUCUAUUCCCACAUAUGAAUCAUAUUAGUGGCGCGUUUUAUUUCCACCGAUGACUCUUUUGCACUUGAAUUGUUAAUGGUGCCUUCUCUUCUCAAACUUGUCCAACAGUUGUCAACUUUAGCUUCAUUUUUUUUUUGGGAUAAAAUGUUUUGAUGUAACAAGCUUAAAGCAUAGUAUGCUUUAGCUUGACGAGAAGUGUUAAAAUUCCGUAUAUGUUCUAAUUAUUCCUUGAUUGUGCAACAUCCUAGGCUAAUUGUUAGUAGUCCUAGUCAAUACAAUUUCCUAGGCAUUGAAUGUAAUUAUUGCAGCAUCAUUAUAAAUAAGAAGGUGUGUGAUCUCACUAGAGACACAAAAAACACAAAAAUUUACACAUAAAUUACUCAUAUUUUACAAGUUAAAGUCCAAACGGGUCCCACCAAAUUCAUAUGAGGCCCACAUGAUAUAGUGGACUUAUGUGAAUUUAAACUAAUUAAAGAGUGUUAGAAAGUGUGUGUUACUAGAACUCCUCUAUGAUCUAUUGUAAGAUCCAACAGCCACUAAAAAAUUAAUAAAUAAAAACUACGAUUUUCUUGUCAAGUAUAAUAUAGUUAUAUAAUCUAAUGGUUGGUAUUAGAAAAUAAAACUUAAACAUAUUAAUGUAGACAUUAAAAGGUUUUGGAACAAGAAAUAGUUUAAGCAAAUAUGUAGUAAAAGGAACAUGCAUCAUAUGCAUAAUGACAUUUCCUAGUUUGUCUACCUGAUACACGCAUAAGCCAACUGCCUGAACCGGUGAAACAAAUGAGAUGUGGGAGGACAUCUUGGAUAAUCUCUGGAACGCAGAAAUUCAUCUUUCAGAACAGAUAAAGCAGUGGAAAAACGAAGAGCUUUCACAGCAUAGACACCUCGCAUCACCUGAGAUCAGAUUUUCAACAUGUUCAGUAGUUCAGAGAGUCCAAUGCAAAAUUAUUAAGACUGCAUCCAAAUGCUUACCUGGGUGAACUGUGGACCUGAUUGUGAUAAAGAGACAGCUAAAUCUCCACAAACCGGAGAUCCUCUUGCAAGGAUAUCCAGAGACCUUGGUGUUAUGCGCAAGCUGUCGAACCUUCAAUCGGAUACAAAUUUAAUGUGUCAAUCUUAUCAGCUUCAGUAUACAUUUAAUUAACUCUUCAAGACUAAAGCUGGACUUCUGCCCAAGGAAGCAAUUUGACGAGUAUGCUACCAGUUUGGUGCAAGUUGCAUAUUAUUUCCAAAUAUGGUGUAAAUUGAAUCUAGUUUGAUGCAAAUUGUGGCUGCAUUACACAACUUAGUUUUGGAUCUUGUUUAAUAACAAAUUGAAUCUAGUUUAAUAGUUUUUUAUUUAAGUGGUUGCCAAGAUACGUAUAAGAGAGGUAUUUUGUCAAUGAGCAUGAGUGGAUUGGCUUGUCGAUAGCAUGGAGUUACAUGGAGUGGUAUGAGUGACAAUAUAUCUUGUGAUUUAUGAGGAGCAUAUAUUUCCAAUUUAAAACUACGCAGUGAUUAGGUAGCCAAGAUUAUCAUAAUAUUAGGGGAAAAAGGACUUGUGGCCACAGGACACAACUAUAAAACUACAUAACAAGAAACCCAAACCAAAAGAAUGGCUCAUGGCCACUUUAUUCAUGUGGUAAUAUCAAAACGGAUCAUACCAACAUAAAAACACAUGUGUUUGAGUAAUGAAAGUGAACUAUGUCUCGCUAGGGCAGGGCAUGAUUUAUAACCUACGGGAAGAGGGACAACUGACAAGCUCCCCAUUUACCUUCCAUUGUUGAAAGAGUUUGGAGCCUGGAGCUAACUCUACUCAUUUAUGGCAUAGGUAGAUGCCACCUCAACUCUAUCUAAUGAUUGAAAGCUUAAAAAAAGCACAACAUUAGUAAGAAAAUAUGUAAACAAAAAAGAGGUGAGCCAAAACUAAGCCGUAGCCACUCAAUAAAAUAUUUUUGUAAAAGAUAUAAGUUGCGUCAUACAGUCAUGAGACUUGCACUGAACACUGUUCAUUUACACCAUAUUGAGAAAUCUUUAACUUUCAGCAAACUAAGUAAUAUUCACAUCAAAUUGCAUCUGUUGGUAAAAUGGGCAUAAAAACUUCAGCUAUAGAACAAUAAAGUUGUAAUUUUCAGAUGAGGUCAAAUUUUGAAGGUAUAUAAGAAGGAAACCUCGACGUUAUUUGGUAUAAUAUUUCUGACAGAUCAAGCUUCUGCGCAAAACUUAUCUGCAUUGUGGCAAAUCCAAUCAGAAUAGGUUCAAGAAGACCAACAAGGCAGCUUUUGAUCUCUACCCCCUUCUUCUGUCUUGGAUUUAUUUCUGUAGGGCUAGCGAGCAACAAUCUGUCAUUCAAAG
rnacentral:lncRNA from 1 species